rnacentral:rRNA from 1 species
GACAGAGGGUGCAAACGUUGUUCGGAAUUACUGGGCGUAAAGCGCGUGUAGGCGGCCCUGCAAGUCGGGUGUGAAAUCCCACGGCUCAACCGUGGAAGUGCACUCGAAACUGCAGGGCUAGAGUCCUGGAGAGGAAGGUGGAAUGCUUGGUGUAGAGGUGAAAUUCGUAGAUAUCAGGAGGAACACCCGUAGCGAAGGCGGCACUCUGGGCCGAUUCUGACACUGAGGAGCGAAAGCGUGGGGAGCGAACAGG